AGAGUUUGAUCCUGGCUCAGGAUGAACGCUGGCGGUAUGCUUAACACGUGCAAGUCGGACGGGAAGUGGUGUUUCCAGUGGCAGACGGGUGAGUAACGCGUAAGAACCUGCCCUUGGGAGGGGAACAAUAGCUGGAAAUGACUGCUAAUACCCCAUAGGCUGAGGAGAAAAAGGGGGAAUCUGCCCAAGGAGGGGCUCGCGUCUGAUUAGUUAGUUGGUGAGGCAAUGGCUUACCAAGGCGACGAUCAGUAGCUGGUCUGAGAGGAUGAUCAACCACGCUGGGACUGAGACAUGGCCCAGACUCCUACGGGAGGAAGCAGUGGGGAAUUUUCUGCAAUGGGCGACAGCCUGAUGGAGCAAUGCCGCGUGAAGGCAAAAGGCCCACGAGUCAUGAACUUCUUUCCUCGGUGAAGAAAAAUGACGGUCUCUGAGGAAUAAGCAUCAGCUAAAUCUGUGCCAGCAGCCGCGGUAAU
rnacentral:rRNA from 1 species